rnacentral:tRNA from 1 species
UAUAAUUUAGUAUAUGAGGUACUUAAAUUUUUGAUAUUUAAAGAAAUAGUUUAAUUCUAUUAAUUAUAA